CCUACGGGAGGCAGCAGUGAGGAAUAUUGGUCAAUGGACGAGAGUCUGAACCAGCCAAGUAGCGUGAAGGAUGACUGCCCUAUGGGUUGUAAACUUCUUUUAUAAAGGAAUAAACUGAGGCACGUGUGCCUUUUUGCAUGUACUUUAUGAAUAAGGACCGGCUAACUCCGUGCCAGCAGCCGCGGUAAUACGGAGGAUCCGAGCGUUAUCCGGAUUUAUUGGGUUUAAAGGGAGCGUAGAUGGGUUGUUAAGUCAGUUGUGAAAGUUUGCGGCUCAACCGUAAAAUUGCAAUUGAUACUGGCAGUCUUGAGUACAGUUGAGGUAGGCGGAAUUCGUGGUGUAGCGGUGAAAUGCUUAGAUAUCACGAAGAACCCCGAUUGCGAAGGCAGCUUACGAAACUGUGACUGACAUUGAUGCUCGAAAGUGUGGGUAUCAAACAGGAUUAGAUACCCUUGUAGUC
rnacentral:rRNA from 1 species